GUGAAUCAUCGAAUCUUUGAACGCAAAUUGCACUCUCCUCGAAGAGUAUGCCUGUUUGAGUGUCAGCCUAAAAAAAAUCGACAUCGUUGCUGUUCCGCGGUUACGUUCGUCGGCAAUUGGGUGAUCUUAAACCUUUUGGUUUAAGCGGCUUAAAAUUUUCGUUUUGAUUCCAUAAACGUUUCUAGA
rnacentral:misc_RNA from 1 species